rfam:Oryza sativa Indica Group cultivar 93-11 Ctg049793, whole genome shotgun sequence.
AAUAAAUACAGUUUUGCACAGUUCAUGUCCAACGUUUAACCGUUCGUCUUAUUUAAAACUUUUCUAUGAUUAGUAUUUUUAUUAUUAUUAGAUGAUAAAACAUAAAUAGUAGUUUAUAUGUGACUAUUUUUUAAAAUUUUUUUUAUAAAUUUAUUAAAUAAGACGGACGGUUAAACGUUGAAUACGGAUAUCCACGACCUAUA